UUUUUUAAGGCUUUAAAACUA
rnacentral:piRNA from 1 species